AGGCCAGGAUCUGGUCCAGACUGGUUUGUAUAGGAGCGUCGGGUUCGUCCACCUCACGUCCCGCCAAGUGACUGUAGAGGACUCGAACAUCCUGGACAGGAAGCACACUGCUCUGAUAACGUCAGCUCAUUCAAUCAAAAUCUAUUAAAACUACAAAACGAUUUCCAUCUCGGCCUUGGUCAGGUUGGCGUCGUCGAUGACUUUGUACAGAGAGCUGAUCUCCUCCUCCACCGCCUUCCUGAAGGGCUGCUCAUUUUCGUACCUGAAGGACCAAGAUUCUCAAAUAUCUGAGUGCCCUUGAAUGCCCCAGCCGAUGAGCGUCCAGGUUACGUGCAGUAACGUGUGCGAGACCUCUGACCUGUCCUUGAAGUCCUCGGCAUUGGCCUGAACGUUCUCCGUCUGCAGCAUGAGGCGAGCGUUACCCAGGAUGGCUUCACUGACCUGCAG